UACGGAGGGUGCAAGCGUUAUCCGGAUUCACUGGGUUUAAAGGGUGCGUAGGUGGGUCUGUAAGUCAGUGGUGAAAUCUUCGAGCUUAACUCGGAAACUGCCAUUGAUACUAUAGAUCUUGAAUUUUCUGGAGGUAAGCGGAAUAUGUCAUGUAGCGGUGAAAUGCUUAGAUAUGACAUAGAACACCAAUUGCGAAGGCAGCUUACUACGGGAAUAUUGACACUGAGGCACGAAAGCGUGGGGAGCGAACAGG
rnacentral:rRNA from 1 species